GCCUGAAAGCAAAGUCAGCAACAGAAAGAUUGCACUAAGGGAGAGGAAGGCCAGAGAAUGAAUGUGCAUGUCUACAGACGCCUUUCAGCCCAAAGUGCUUUCCAUCCUCUUCAUGUACAGCAUCACGAGGACCCAGCCACUGCUGGAUUCCAACAUCUAGCUAGGAGAAGAGAGAUAUUCACAAUAUCAAUGUAGCCCAGCAUUUAAACAUCCUCAUGCCCUUUCAUCUGCUGUAAGCGAGAGUAAAAAUAUGGACUUUACAACACGGUCUGAAUGUCAACAGACUUCAAUUCUUCCUUCCUUCCCCAGAAUUCAAAUCUGGGCACAGGCAGUAAACUUGAAUGUUAAUGUGGAUUAAGAUCAGGUAUGAAUUGGAGGCACAAUAGCUGUUCCCAAAUAGCUACAUGUGUGCUUAUGCUGACACUUUCAAGGUUGUUUAAGUUAAAUGGCAACAAGGUGCCAGCGUAAGUAUUUCUACAUAAGGAUUUAUUUGGGAACAAUGCAUCAGAAGCAACUAUGUGUAGUCCCCCUACUUUGGUAAACACUCAUGUUUGUAUAAUAAAAUACAAAGAGGAGGACUGGAUUGCUUAGGGCAGUAGGGGCCAACUUUUUUGGCAAGUGUGCUACAAAUCAGCCGCACACCCGAGUGCCCCUUUCUCCUGUCCAGUCUGCUGCUCUGCUUUCUGCUCCUUGGCCAUUUUGUUUCUCUGCUUUCUGCUCCCUGCUCUGCCACUGUGCUUUUUGUCCCUUCCCCAGUCUGCCGUGUGCCCCAUGCCCCGGCUGCCUGUGCUACAAGUUGGUCCAUACCACAGGUUGGUCGCCCUGGCUUAGAUGAUCAGAACUGGUACGUGGAAUUUCUCACUGCUAGCACUGAGAUUGCUGCCAAUUCAGAUGCAGCCCAGUCCUAGAGACUGAAGUCCUAGAGAUCACAGCCCAGUCCUAGAUAUCGCAGCCUACCCACCAUGUUUUUCACAUCUGAUGGCUGUUUGGUGCCCUCUGUAAAAACAAGGGACUCUCAGCAUUGUUCUAAAUGGAAAUGUGUUUCAAGAGCCACAUCACUGCUGGUCCUUUGUUAGCUAGCUCAGCAGAGAGGUAAAAAACUGAAAGGGCCAGAGACUAAGCUAACCUCGCCAGCAUGGCCAACCAUAAACAGUCAACAACCCUUGGAUCAGAAUCCCCUUAUCUUCUUUCUGAAAUAUGGAAAACAUGCAUAUGCCUAUCUAACAUGCCUAUAUAGACAUAGACACACGCCUACACUCAAUGCCUUCUGGGUUCUGAGUCAUAAGGUACCUGCUCACAUUUUCAGGCUUCUCUAUGCUAUGAGGAAUAGACAAUUGCUUCAAAAUAUAAGCAGAAAUAUGCACAAAUUCAGCUGAUGCCAGCAGGUGGGCCUUUAGGGAACCUACCAAAUAUUACAAGACUCUCAACAAAGUCUUACAAUAAAAUUGUGAAAGUUGGCAACUCCACCAUCCCCACUCUGGGCCAAAUACAUUGGACAGCAGCACCACAGAGAAAACUUGCGUUGUGCUUGCCUGUGACACAAAACUUGUGGGAUUUAAUUCCCUGGCUUGCCAAACUGA